AGCGAACGCUGGCGGCAGGCCUAACACAUGCAAGUCGAACGAAGCCUUCGGGCUUAGUGGCGGACGGGUGAGUAACACGUGGGAACGUACCUUUUGGUUCGGAACAACUCAGGGAAACUUGAGCUAAUACCGGAUGAGCCCUUCGGGGGAAAGAUUUAUCGCCAUUAGAGCGGCCCGCGUUAGAUUAGCUAGUUGGUGAGGUAAAGGCUCACCAAGGCUACGAUCUAUAGCUGGUCUGAGAGGAUGAUCAGCCACACUGGGACUGAGACACGGCCCAGACUCCUACGGGAGGCAGCAGUGGGGAAUCUUGCGCAAUGGGCGAAAGCCUGACGCAGCCAUGCCGCGUGAAUGAUGAAGGUCUUAGGAUUGUAAAAUUCUUUUACCAGGGACGAUAAUGACGGUACCUGGAGAAAAAGCCCCGGCUAACUUCGUGCCAGCAGCCGCCGUAAGAC
rnacentral:rRNA from 1 species